rnacentral:rRNA from 1 species
AGUCGAACGGAAAGGCCCUUUCGGGGGUGCUCGAGUGGCGAACGGGUGAGUAACACGUGGGUGAUCUGCCCUGCACUUUGGGAUAAGCCUGGGAAACUGGGUCUAAUACCGGAUAGGACUACGAAUCGCAUGGUUUGUGGUGGAAAGCCUUUGCGGUGUGGGAUGGGCCCGCGGCCUAUCAGCUUGUUGGUGGGGUGAUGGCCUACCAAGGCGACGACGGGUAGCCGGCCUGAGAGGGUGUCCGGCCACACUGGGACUGAGAUACGGCCCAGACUCCUACGGGAGGCAGCAGUGGGGAAUAUUGCACAAUGGGCGCAAGCCUGAUGCAGCGACGCCGCGUGAGGGAUGACGGCCUUCGGGUUGUAAACCUCUUUCAGUACCGACGAAGCGCAAGUGACGGUAGGUACAGAAGAAGCACCGGCCAACUACGUGCCAGCAGCCGCGGUAAUACGUAGGGUGCGAGCGUUGUCCGGAAUUACUGGGCGUAAAGAGCUCGUAGGUGGUUUGUCGUGUUGUUCGUGAAAACUCACAGCUUAACUGUGGGCGUGCGGGCGAUACGGGCAGACUGGAGU